rnacentral:rRNA from 1 species
UUUAUGGAGAGUUUGAUCCUGGCUCAGGAUGAACGCUGGCGGCGUGCCUAAUACAUGCAAGUCGAGCGAACAGAUAAGGAGCUUGCUCCUUUGACGUUAGCGGCGGACGGGUGAGUAACACGUGGGUAACCUACCUAUAAGACUGGAAUAACUCCGGGAAACCGGGGCUAAUGCCGGAUAACAUGUUGAACCGC